rnacentral:rRNA from 1 species
UACAGAGGGUGCAAGCGUUAAUCGGAAUUACUGGGCGUAAAGCGCGCGUAGGUGGUUUGUUAAGUUGAAUGUGAAAUCCCCGGGCUCAACCUGGGAACUGCAUGCAAAACUGGCAAGCUAGAGUAUGGUAGAGGGUGGUGGAAUUUCCUGUGUAGCGGUGAAAUGCGUAGAUAUAGGAAGGAACACCAGUGGCGAAGGCGACCACCUGGACUGAUACUGACACUGGAGGUGCGAAAGCGUGGGGAGCAAACAGGA